GAGUGUUUUCCAGGACAUGCUAGUUCCAAAAGAUACUCCUUAAAAAAGAGUUCGAUAGUCAAAACGUUGCUUCCAGAAGAAGACUGUCUCAUUACUGUUACAUCUCUGGCCCUGGAGUAGCCCCUGGCAAAUAUGUACUCAGUACAUGUUUGCGAGACGCAUGGACUUGUAGAACAGUUCCACAGCUGUCCAUCACUGAUGUUCCAUACCUAGCGAUGCGGCCCCUCGAAACGCACUGGAGAGCUGGGCAGACCAAGGAUAAUUUCACAGACUUUAGGAGACUUGCCCUCAUAUCUCAUAAUCUUCGCUCACAGGACGCUGGACAUUCAAAGAAAGAAAAAGAAGUAUAGAAAAGAGAGAAAAACGUCAAGAACUCCAGCAUAAAGUCCUCUUAAUAACGCGUCUUUUUAUAAUCAUCGGGCAAUAAAUUUCUGAAUGGAC
rnacentral:lncRNA from 1 species